ensembl:lncRNA
GGGAGGUCUAUAGGAUAUCUACUACGACAGGGGAGGUCUACAGGAUAUCUACUACGACAGAGGAGAGGAGGUAACAUGGAGAUCCUACUACUACAGAGGAGAGGAGGUAACAUGGAGAUCUACUACGACAGAGGGAGGUCUACAGGAUAUCCUACUACUACGACAGAGGGAGGUCUACAGGAGAUCUACUACGACAGAGGGAGGUCUACAGGAUAUCUACUACGACAGGGGAGGUCUACAGGAUAUCCUACUACUACGACAGAGAGGAGGUCUACAGGAUAUCCUACUACUACAGAGAGGUGGUAACAUGGAGAUCUACUACGACAGAGGGAGGUCUACAGGAGAUCUACUACUACAGAGGGAGGUCUACAGGAUAUCUACUACGACAGGGGAGGUCUACAGGAGAUCUACUACGACAGAGGGAGGUCUACAGGAGAUCUACUACGACAGAGGGCGGUCUACAGGAUAUCUACUACGACAGGGGAGACUACAGGAUAUCUACUACGACAGAGGAGAGGAGGUAACAUGGAGAUCUACUACGACAGAGGGAGGUCUACAGGAGAUCUACUACUACAGAGGAGAGGAGGUAACAUGGAGAUCUACUACGACAGAGGAGGUCUACAGGAGAUCUACUACGACAGAGGGAGGUCUACAGGAUAUCUACUACGACAGGGGAGACUACAGGAUAUCUACUACGACAGAGGAGAGGAGGUAACAUGGAGAUCUACUACGACAGAGGGAGGUCUACAGGAGAUCUACUACUACAGAGGAGAGGAGGUAACAUGGAGAUCUACUACGACAGAGGAGGUCUACAGGAGAUCUACUACGACAGAGGGAGGUCUACAGGAUAUCUACUACGACAGGGGAGGUCUACAGGAUAUCUACUACGACAGAGGGAGGUCUACAGGAGAUCUACUAUGACAGAGGGAGGUCUACAGGAUAUCCUGGUUAAUUAAAAACAUUGACCGCUAGUGGUCGGAAUAUUGACUUUGAUCUCAGGCCCUUCUUAUGAACUAUUAUAUAUUUUUUAAUAAUUUAAUGUAUUAUAAAUGAAGUCUUAUAAAUGAACAUUUUCUUUCUACAGCUUGCCAGCGUACACCCAAUAUGAUGCUUAUUAUGCAAUAAGGUUGAACCAAAAGAUUACAAGGAACAAAAAC